rnacentral:rRNA from 1 species
UACGUAGGCAGCGAGCGUUGUUCGGAGUUACUGGGCGUAAAGGGUGCGUAGGCGGUUGUUUAAGUUUGGUGUGAAAUCUCCCGGCUCAACUGGGAGGGUGCGCCGAAUACUGAAUGACUAGAGUGCGGGAGAGGAUAGUGGAAUUCCUGGUGUAGCGGUGAAAUGCGCAGAUAUCGGGAAGAACACCCGUGGCGAAGGCGGCACUCUGGGACGGUACUGACGCUGAGACGCGAAAGCGUGGGGAGCGAACAGG